rnacentral:rRNA from 1 species
CAGCCGCCGCGGGAACACAGAGGGUGCAAGCGUUAAUCGGAAUUACUGGGCGUAAAGCGCGCGUAGGUGGUUUGUUAAGUUGGAUGUGAAAUCCCCGGGCUCAACCUGGGAACUGCAUCCAAAACUGGCAAGCUAGAGUAUGGUAGAGGGUGGUGGAAUUUCCUGUGUAGCGGUGAAAUGCGUAGAUAUAGGAAGGAACACCAGUGGCGAAGGCGACCACCUGGACUGAUACUGACACUGAGGUGCGAAAGCGUGGGGAGCAAACAGGAUUAGAUACCCCAGUAGUCCCUGUCUCUUAUAU